UGAGUGGCGGACGGGUGAGUAACGCGUGGGUAACCUGCCUUAUACAGGGGGAUAACAGUUAGAAAUGACUGCUAAUACCGCAUAAGCGCACAGGAUUGCAUGAUCUGGUGUGAAAAACUCCGGUGGUAUAAGAUGGACCCGCGUCUGAUUAGCUGGUUGGUGAGGUAACGGCCCACCAAGGCGACGAUCAGUAGCCGACCUGAGAGGGUGACCGGCCACAUUGGGACUGAGACACGGCCCAAACUCCUACGGGAGGCAGCAGUGGGGAAUAUUGCACAAUGGGGGAAACCCUGAUGCAGCGACGCCGCGUGAGCGAAGAAGUAUUUCGGUAUGUAAAGCUCUAUCAGCAGGGAAGAAAAAAAUGACGGUACCUGACUAAGAAGCCCCGGCUAACUACGUGCCAGCAGCCGCGGUAAUACGUAGGGGGCAAGCGUUAUCCGGAUUUACUGGGUGUAAAGGGAGCGCAGGCGGUGCGGCAAGUCUGAUGUGAAAGCCCGGGGCUCAACCCCGGGACUGCAUUGGAAACUGUCGUACUUGAGUAUCGGAGAGGUAAGUGGAAUUCCUAGUGUAGCGGUGAAAUGCGUAGAUAUUAGGAGGAACACCAGUGGCGAAGGCGG
rnacentral:rRNA from 1 species